ACCGGGCGACAGCAAUAUGAAGGUCAGGCUGAAGACCUUACCCGAUUAGCUGAGAGGUGGUGCAUGGCCGUCGUCAGUUCGUACUGUGAAGCAUCCUGUUAAGUCAGGCAACGAGCGAGACCCACGUCCACAGUUGCCAGCAUACCCUCCGGGGUGAUGGGUACACUGUGGAGACCGCCGCUGCUAAAGCGGAGGAAGGAGUGGGCAACGGUAGGUCAGUAUGCCCCGAAUCUCCCGGGCUACACGCGGGCUACAAUGGUUGGUACAAUGGGCAUCUACCCCGAAAGGGGAAGGAAAUCUCUUAAAGCCAAUCGUAGUUCGGAUUGAGGGCUGCAACUCGCCCUCAUGAAGCUGGAAUCCGUAGUAAUCGCGUUUCAACAGAACGCGGUGAAUACGUCCCUGCUCCUU
rnacentral:rRNA from 1 species